AGCGAAUAGAUACCCGGGUAGUCCCAGCCGUAAACGAUGCUCGCUAGGUGUCAGGCAUGGCGCGACCGUGUCUGGUGCCGCAGGGGAAGCCGUGAAGCGAGCCACCUGGGGAAGUACGGCCGCAAGGCUGAAACUUAAAGGAAUUGGCGGGGAGCACAACAACGGGUGGAGCCUGCGGUUUAAUUGGACUCAACGCCGGACAACUCACCGGGGGCGGACAGCAAUAUGUAGGCCAAGCUGAAGACUUUGCCUGAAUCGCUGAGAGGAGGUGCAUGGCCGUCGCCAGUUCGUACUGUGAAGCAUCCUGUUAAGUCAGGCAACGAGCGAGACCCGUGCCCACUGUUACCAGCAUGUCCUCCGGGGACGAUGGGUACUCUGUGGGGACCGCCUAUGUUAAAUAGGAGGAAGGUGCGGGCCACGGUAGGUCAGUAUGCCCCGGAAUCUCCCGGGCUACACGCGGGCUACAAUGGAUGGGACAAUGGGUCCCUACUCCGAAACGGAGCUGGUAAUCUCACAAACCCAUUCGUAGUUCGGAUCGA
rnacentral:rRNA from 1 species